UGGCUCAGGACGAACGCUGGCGGCGCGCCUAACACAUGCAAGUCGAACGGAGUUAUUGAAAGCUUGCUUUGAUAACUUAGUGGCGGACGGGUGAGUAACACGUGAGUAACCUGCCUUUCAGUGGGGAAUAACGGCUGGAAACGGUCGCUAAUACCGCAUAAUGUAUUUUGUCGGCAUCGACGGAAUACCAAAGAUUUAUCGCUGAGAGAUGGACUCGCGUCCGAUUAGCUAGUUGGUGAGGUAAUGGCUCACCAAGGCGACGAUCGGUAGCCGGACUGAGAGGUUGAACGGCCACAUUGGGACUGAGACACGGCCCAGACUCCUACGGGAGGCAGCAGUGGGGGAUAUUGCACAAUGGGGGAAACCCUGAUGCAGCGACGCCGCGUGUAGGAAGACGGUCCUCUGGAUUGUAAACUACUGUCUUCGGGGACGAUAAUGACGGUACCCGAGGAGGAAGCUCCGGCUAACUACGUGCCAGCCGCAGC
rnacentral:rRNA from 1 species